ensembl:lncRNA
AUGGUCCUCCUGCAGGGACCGCCGCGGCUCCACUCCCCACACCGCGCUGUCGGUGCUCUGCUUCCCCCCACAGCUCGGCCAAACCCGGCGCGGGGCCGUGCAGGAGCGAGCCCCCCGCAGAGAGGGGCAGGGGAGAGACCCCAGAGCGCCCCGAGCCGGAGGGGACCCGCAGGGAUCGCCGAGUGCAACCCCUGGCUUCACGCGGGACCGCCCCAGUACCCCAACCCCACGUCUGAGAGCGGUGUCCAGAGGCUUCGUGAGAGUCCCUCGGGCUCGGGGCCAUGCCCAAGUCCCUGGGGAGCCCGUCCCAGUGCCGGCCACCUCUGGCGGCCACCCCUCCUGACACAGCCCGGCCUCCCGCAGCCGGUCACGGAGGAGCUGCAGGAGGGCCGGGAUCCCCGUGUGCGCUUCCCCAGGCGCCUCCUCCUCCCCGGGCCGAGCCAGGCCGACUCCAACCCGCCUGUCUUGUCAUCGCCCCGGCGCCCAGGAGAAGCCAACGGCGCGCAGCACCCGGCCGGCUCCCCACGGGCGGUGCCGAUCCAGGCCACGCUCACGCCAGCUCUGCCAAACCGCCCCUUCCCCGGCUCCCUCUUCCCGCAGCCCAUCUCCUUCGGUCUCUCUCUUCUCUCCCAGUUCUUCCCUACCCCCAGAGGCCACCUGCACCCCACUCACCUGAGGGACACCCGUGCUCCGCUCCUGUCCCCAGCCCCUCCUUCCCACGCCUCUCGGGCCCUGCCCUCCUCCCUGCUCCUCCCAGUCAGGCUUUACCAGGCUCGUGUGGCACCGGGGACUCCCUUUUCCCUCUCCUCUGGGGCCUCUGUCUGUUUUUCCAGCCCUAGCACCUCUCUCAGUGUAUUUUCCUGGCUCUCCUCGUUCACCAGCCAUACCGCCUGGCAGUGCCUCAUGGGGACUCGGCGUAGCUCCCAACUCCUUCGCCUCCCGUUCCUCCUGCAGCCCCAACGCCGCCUCACUGACCUCCUCCUCUCCCAGCACUUGCUCCUCGGAGCCCUGCGCCCUUCCUGCCGCGCUUCCCCCUGCCUGCGACAAGCCCUGUGCUGCCUCGGCCCCCCGUUUUCUCCAGCGAUCCACCCGCACGUCGCCUGAAGAGUUGGUUUAUUGCUGCGUGGCUCCAUCCUGCCACCGGACAAGAGCACAAAACGCGCUUUGCCACACUCUUCCCAUCCUGGUUGGGCAGGGGAACACCGGGGAGCAGCUCUCCCCACCGCCUCACGCAGCCCGAGCGCCGCGGGUCCUCGCCGCGCCGGGAGAAGCCCGGGGAAAGGAGCUCGCUGGCACGCGGCGAGCGCUCCCCCUCCGCUCCGGGUUCCCAAACACCCGCCGGCUCCCCAGCUACCUGCCCGCCCCGAACCUGCCCCGCCGUGUCUCCGCGGCGCGGGCCGGGCGGCCAAACCAUUCCUUCCCAGUGACGCAAGCCCGGGACGGCGGAACGACGGGGUGUGCUCUGCCCCGUCCCCAGCACGCCUUGGCUGCACCGCCCGCACCCACGAGGCGCUCGGAGAAGCCGGUGCCAGAGCCGCCUGCUCCCUGUGGCCCCAGCACGCUCCUUUUCCUCCACGGCCCCUCGGUGACGCCAGCUCCGCCCGUUUGCCACCUCCUCAGCCUUAAACGAAGGCCGCCGAGUUGAUCGGCUCUCCUCGCUUCGCUCUAGACGAGGCUAUGGCCGGGUUUCGUACCCCAGCAGAAGACCUGUGGUGUCGGGUGUGGGCGGGCAGCUCCCCCGAGCACCAACACCCAGAAGCUCCCGAGGACGCCGCUUCCCAGGGAGUCACCACCAAGGAGCGCCGGGAAGGCCCGAGUCCCUCUCUCCUGAAUCAGCGAGAUACAGGGGGUGGCUCCGCGGGGCUUUUAUCUCGUCGCAGGGAGACGCGGCCAGCUAACCGGGGCCGGUAAUUUGGGAUUAACAGGCUUCACGGCGACAAUCUGGCCCCGCUUAGCGAGAAGUCAGGUUGAACACCUGCCAGCGCAGCCCAUUACGUCAGCGGGGCCGGAGAACAGCGAGGAAACGCGCUCCGAGGAGCAGUUCCUCUCCGGGCAGGGCAGCGACGUGUGGCCGGGACCAGGCGCUGAGCUUCUGGUCACCGCC